rnacentral:rRNA from 1 species
AUUGAACGCUGGCGGCAUGCCUUACACAUGCAAGUCGAACGGUAACAGGUCUUCGGAUGCUGACGAGUGGCGAACGGGUGAGUAAUACAUCGGAACGUGCCCGAUCGUGGGGGAUAACGGAGCGAAAGCUUUGCUAAUACCGCAUACGAUCUACGGAUGAAAGCAGGGGACCGCAAGGCCUUGCGCGGACGGGGCGGCCGAUGGCAGAUUAGGUAGUUGGUGGGAUAAAAGCUUACCAAGCCGACGAUCUGUAGCUGGUCUGAGAGGACGACCAGCCACACUGGGACUGAGACACGGCCCAGACUCCUACGGGAGGCAGCAGUGGGGAAUUUUGGACAAUGGGCGAAAGCCUGAUCCAGCCACGCCGCGUGCAGGAUGAAGGCCUUCGGGUUGUAAACUGCUUUUGUACGGAACGAAAAGCCUCUUUCUAAUAAAGAGAGGUCAUGACGGUACCGUAAGAAUAAGCACCGGCUAACUACGUGCCAGCAGCCGCAGUAAAAC